rnacentral:rRNA from 1 species
CUACGGGAUGCUCCAGUGAGGAAUAUUGGACAAUGGGGGCAACCCUGAUCCAGCCAUGCCGCGUGAGUGAUGACGGCCUUAGGGUUGUAAAGCUCUUUCAGUAGUGAAGAUAAUGACGGUAACUACAGAAGAAGCCCCGGCUAACUUCGUGCCAGCAGCCGCGGUAAUACGAAGGGGGCUAGCGUUGUUCGGAAUCACUGGGCGUAAAGCGCGCGUAGGCGGACUUUUAAGUCAGGGGUGAAAUCCCGAGGCUCAACCUCGGAACUGCCUUUGAUACUGGAAGUCUUGAGUUCGAGAGAGGUGAGUGGAAUACCGAGUGUAGAGGUGAAAUUCGUAGAUAUUCGGUGGAACACCAGUGGCGAAGGCGGCUCACUGGCUCGAUACUGACGCUGAGGUGCGAAAGCGUGGGGAGCAAACAGGAUUAGAUACCCUUGUAGUC